UGGGUAAUGUACCUUUCAGCGGGGGACAACCGUCCGAAAGGAUGGCUAAUACCGCAUACGUCGGCGAGGGCUCCGGUCCUUGUCGGGAAAGAUGGCCUCUCCUUGGAAGCUGUCACUGGAAGAUCAACCCGCGGCCCAUCAGCUAGUUGGUGAGGUAACGGCUCACCAAGGCGACGACGGGCAGCUGGUCUGAGAGGACCGACCAGCCACACUGGAACUGAGACACGGUCCAGACUCCGUAACGGG
rnacentral:rRNA from 1 species